rnacentral:rRNA from 1 species
CACGUAGGGUGCGAGCGUUGUCCGGAAUUAUUGGGCGUAAAGAGCUCGUAGGCGGUGUGUCGCGUCGGCCGUGAAAACCUGCAGCUUAACUGUGGGCUUGCGGUCGAUACGGGCAUCACUGGAGUUCGGCAGGGGAGACUGGAAUUCCUGGUGUAGCGGUGAAAUGUGCAGAUAUCAGGAGGAACACCAAUAGCGAAGGCAGCUCGCUGGGACGUUACUGACACUGAGGCGCGAAAGCGUGGGGAGCGAACAGG